AUUGAACGCUGGCGGCAGGCUUAACACAUGCAAGUCGAGCGAGCGGCGGACGGGUGAGUAAUGUCUGGGACACUUCCUGAUGGAGGGGGAUAACUACUGGGAACGGUAACUAAUACCGCAUUCCAUCCGAUGUGCCAAGAUGGGAUUAGCUAGGAGGUGGGGUAAUGGCUCACCUAGGGGACGAUCCCUAGCUGGUCUGAGAGGAGGACCAGCCACACUGGAACUGAGACACGGUCCAGACUCCUACGGGAGGCAGCAGUGGGGAAUAUUGCACAAUGGGCGAAAGCCUGAUGCAGCCAUGCCGCGGGUGUGAAGAAGGUCUUCGGGUUGUAAAGCACUUUCAGCGAGGAGGCGUUACUCGCAGAAGAAGCACCGGCUAACUCCGUGCCAGCAGCCGCGGUAAUUC
rnacentral:rRNA from 1 species